GCCUUGGUAGCUUAACUCAAAGCAUCGGUCUUGUAAGCCGAAGACUGUAGUUUAACCGCUACCCAAAGCU
rnacentral:tRNA from 1 species